AUUGAACGCUGGCGGCAGGCCUAACACAUGCAAGUCGAGCGAGCGGCGGACGGGUGAGUAAUAUCUGGGAAACUGCCUGAUGGAGGGGGAUAACUACUGGAAACGGUAGCUAAUACCGCAUACCAUCAGAUGUGCCCAGAGGGGAUUAGCUAGUAGGUGGGGUAACGGCUCACCUAGGCGACGAUCCCUAGCGGGUCUGAGAGGAUGACCAGCCACACUGUACCUGAGACACGGUCCAGACUCCUACGGGAGGCAGCAGUGGGGAAUAUUGCACAAUGGGCGCAAGCCUGAUGCAGCCAUGCCGCGUGUGUGAAGAAGGCCUUCGGGUUGUAAAGCACUUUCAGCGGGUAGGCGUUACCCGCAGAAGAAGCACCGGCUAACUCCGUGCCAGCCGCCGCGGUAAUUC
rnacentral:rRNA from 1 species